rnacentral:misc_RNA from 1 species
GAGGAAGUGGAGAAGUUGAAUUCAAAGAGGGUCAAUUUGGAAAAAAAAGUAAAAGAGAUGGAGAAGGAAACAGAAAACAGGGUCCAGAAGGAGGUUAGCUUGGAGGAAAGAAUCAGUGUGUUGUUGGAUGAAGUGGAAAAUUCAAAUACAAUGAGGGUGAGCUUGGAGGAGGAAGUAAAAGAGACGGAGAAGGAAAGAGAGAACUGGGUCCAAAAGGAGAAAUCAUUCAGAGAAAUAAUUUCCAGCCUAAGUGGUGACAAUGCACUUUUAGAGACGCAGGUGAAGGAGUUCGAAGAGUUGAGGACCAAUAUAUUACAAGAAAAUC